CUAGUUCCUGUGUACAUGGUACCUGCGUUAACAAUGUCACUGGGUUUACAUGUCAAUGUCAACCUGGGUAUAGUGGACACCACUGUGAAACAAUUGAAAGAAAAACCAUUAACUAUUGUGAUUCCAGUCCUUGUGUCCAUGGAACCUGUAUCAGCACAGUUAUUGGAUACAUUUGCAAAUGUCAAUUGGGAUUUAGUGGCAAACAAUGUGAGAUUGGCAGUA